rnacentral:rRNA from 1 species
UACGGAGGGGGCAAGCGUUCUUCGGAAUUAUUGGGCGUAAAGGGCGCGUAGGCGGCUAGAUGUGUCAAAGGUGAAAUCCCUCGGCUCAACUGAGGAACUGCCUUUGAAACUGUCUGGCUUGAGGCCGGGAGAGGGUAGCGGAAUUCCCAGUGUAGCGGUGAAAUGCGUAGAUAUUGGGAGGAACACCAGUGGCGAAGGCGGCUACCUGGACCGGUUCUGACGCUGAGGCGCGAAAGCGUGGGUAGCAAACAGG